ensembl:snRNA U6 U6 spliceosomal RNA
UUGCUUCAGUAGCAUAUAUAUAAAAACUGAAAUGAGACAGGGAAAGUUAGCAUGGACCAUGUGCAAGGAUGACAUGCAAAUCAUGGAGUGUUCCAUAUAUUA